rnacentral:lncRNA from 1 species
GGUAGGGAGCCAAAGUGUCUUCAGGAAGGACACCAGGCAAUGAAAUAGAAGGUAGCAACUGGGUGGAGCAGGAAGUGGUUCUACCUUUGUGUCAGUUUCACCUUUCAGGAAGUGUCCUGGACAGAAGGAUCUUGAAUCACAGUCAGCAGGUCAGCUAGAGAGCCAUGUGACACCAAGAACACUGCUGCAAGCAAUCCCAGUGAAACUCCCAGAGUCCAGCCUCCUGCCUCCAGGCGAGUCCAACUAAAACACAAUCUUGGCUCGAAAGAAAAAGGCAUGUUACCAUCCAACUUUGCCACUUGAAAUGAAACUAGAAAAACAUCCUGAGAACAGAGAUGCAGUUUGGACAACAAUGGGAAUAAUCAAUCUAAUGACUUCCUUUGAACAAUUAACUCCGAAAUGGAGGGAAGAAAGAUAAUUGGUUACUGGGACCUCUGUGACACCCCAUGCUAAGGAAAAGGAAUAUGAAGUAAAAAAGGUAAGUGUGGAAGGGAGAAAUACUGUAAGAAUGGAGAAAAAGUGAUUUGUUUUAUUUUUCUAGACAGGGUUCCCCAGAUAAACAUAAAAAAAGGAUAAGGAAUUUUAAUUUCUAUAAACAAUAUUAUUUGUAGCUGAUUUAAAGCUAUGUCAGAAAUUGACUACCUUUAUACAUAUUCUUUGGUAUGGUUUUGUGAAUUUUCUUUUACUUCAUAGUUUAUGCUGCAUUUGAAACCUUGUCUCAGCUGAAGUAAAGGAAAUCUCAUCUCAGUCGAAGUAAAGGAAAAAGAUUGCUUUUCAUUCCAUCAAGCUUUAUGAUUUUAAAUCAUGCAAGUCACAUCUGACAGUAGAUCCAAGGGUCUCACUUAGGAAUCAAGGUCAAAGUCAAAAGCUCAGAGACUGUUAAGUAGAAGAACAGACUUUGAAGCAAGAUAGAAACCAAGCCAUUUGCCCUCAGAACAGGACUGAGAUGCCCAGAAUUCCUUUUUACCAGGUGUUGGUGUCCAAUUGACUGCAUUCCAUUUUACACAAAAUUACUUUUAGAGGGGAUUUACAGCCCUGCCUAAGGUUGCUUCUGUGGAUCAUCUCCAGGAAGAGGUA